rnacentral:sRNA from 1 species
UUGACAGCCCUGGGAGACUGAAAGCCCUGUUUAUCCCCAGUACAGACACAGCACAACUAACAAAAAUGCAACUUUCCGUGAGAUAUCUUAGCAAUGUAUUUCUGCAUGGCCAGGGAAACACAGGAUGCUAGGGGUUUAGUUGUUCAGGUUAUGCAAUCCUUUGUCUUU